rnacentral:lncRNA from 1 species
UGAAUUUCUGUGUGUUUCUUUCAUCAUUGGUAGUAUAUGAAGGUGUUGGAACAUGGCUUCAUUUGAUAAGAGGUUUAUUACGAGUAUUGAGUUGUUUUGAGUAGCUACUGUGAUUGGAAAUUAUUGCUAUGAGUAUUUGAGUUUUGCGGUAUAUCACGUGAUUACAUCUUGGGUUAUGCUGAAGGCUUAAUACAGCUUGUUCAGACUUACACAGUGUGUAGAUGCGAGAUCAUGAUCUUAUAGAAAGUCCGGAUGUUGGAAAUUUGGUUCAGAGGCUUAUAGGCUAGGAUGAAUUAUGAAAAAAAAAAUAUAUUGUGUUGUCAGACCUAUAUGGUAUAGGGUGACGUGGGAUUACUCCUGGAUCUGUGCAUGGUAAGGUUACACUGCAGUUUGAUGGCUUUGAGAACAACUUUGGGAACGUUCGAGGACGAAUAUAUGUUUAAGUAUGGGAGGAUGUAACGACCCGACCAAUCUUUUUGAGCAUUUACACUUUGCUCGGUUAUUUGGGGGUAUGAGUAGCUACGUAUGAUGUAUUAUGACUUAUGUGAAUCGCCGGUUUUUGUUUUUCACGUUAUUCGAAAAUUUAAGUUUUGAAGUUUUAUCGGGGAGUUGACUUUUUGAUAUCAGGAUCAAAAUCUAAUUCUGGAAAUUAGAAUAGUUCUAUUAUGUCAUUUAUAGCAUGUGUGCAAAAUUUGGGGUCAAUCGGACGUGAUUUGAUAGGUUUCGACAAUGGUUAUAGAAGUUUGAGGUUUCAAGUUUAUUAAGCUUGAAUUGGUGUGUGAUUCAUAUUUUUGUUAUCGUUAGAUGUGAUUUGAGGGCUUUACUAAGUUUAUAUGGUGUAUUAGGACUUGAUGGUACCUUUGGUUGAGGUCCCGGGGGCCUCGGGUGUGUUUCAGGGUGAGUUUUGAGCGAGUUCGCGGAUUUCGGCACUCUGAUAUUGUUCUGCCACUUUUGGGGGUGCAGACUGCACAUUUUGGGGUGCUAAUGCAGAAAAGUGCAGACCUCAGAGGAGGAGUGCGGACCACACAAUUUUGCCUACGGCCGCACUCUAGGGAGAUUAUGCAGAUUCGUCGGUCCAACUUCGGAAGCUUAUAUCUUUUGACCUACAACGAAUUUUGUGAUGAUUCAAAAACAAAAGUUGUAGCUCUUCGUGUCUAGUUUCUAGAAAAAUAAAGAAGUUAUCAUUUAAGCAUCUGUAGAGAAAGUUAUAGCCAAAAUACUAAGGACAGGCAGUGCUGUCACCAAAAGGUGCGGCCACACCAUUUUUGUGCGACCGCGUGAGCUGCGAUGUGUAGCCGCACUUGGAAUUGUGCGGAACAUAGAUUAGGAGUUUAGAGGUGUACUAUUUAAACAAGGUUUAGGGUAUUAUUUCACACUUUGGACCUUAGGAGCUCGGUUGUAGCGAUUUUUUGUGGGGUUUUCAAGAAAUUCAUCGGGGUAAGUGAUUCUAACUUGAAUUUGGUUAACAUACAUGAAUAUAUCAUUGUCUUCAUUAGUCAAUUAGUAUUUUGAGAUAGAAAUUUGGGGAAAGUUGUAGAAAUUUUAUAAAGCAAAUUUUUGAGAUUUGAAUGUCGAAUUGAAGUCGGAUUUGAGUGAAACUAGUAUGGUUGGACUCGUAAUUGAAUGGGUUAUCGGAUUUUGUGAGUUUUGUCGGGCCUCGAGGUGCGGGCCCGGGUGUGAUUUUUGGCUGGAUUUUGGAUUUGACUUAGGAUUCGAUCUUUAUCAUUUGUAAUUAUUUCCUUUGACUUUAUCUGAUGUAUUUGAGUUGCUUCUGGCUAGUAUUGAGCCAUUCAGAGGUCUCUACGCGCGUUAUGGAAUUCUUGGAUCAUCCUUUGGCUUGCUCGACGUUUGGAAUUGGCUUGUUUGAGAUAAGUAACUCUUCUAAACUUAGUGCUAAGGGUAUAAAACCCCAAAUUAUGUGUUGUGUGAUUGGUAUUGAGACGACACACAUGCUAGGUAACGGGCGUGUGGGCAUGCACCUUAUGAAUUGUGACUCUGUCAUUUUUUCCUGGCACUGUUUAGUGGCCCUAGUUUGUUGAUAUCUGUGUUUUCACCAUGUGAUUAAUUAAUUGAGCUGUCAAUUAUGUUAGAUAUCAUGUUUAGGCUUUAUGCUGAUAUUGUUAGGACCCAUAGUGGUCGUUUCUUACUAUCACCUUACUUAUAUCAUUGAUAUUUCGUACUCAGUCAUAUUCAUGCAUUCAUAUCAUAUUUCAAUCUCAGUUGAUAUUUAUUGAUACACAUAUCAUUGUUGUCGGGCUGGUUUCAUGACAUUGAGAGCCCGAGAAACUAAAGAGAUUGAUGACUGAGUGAGGCCGAGAGCCUGAUUGUGAGGAUAUUCAUGGGAUUGGGCUGCACACCGUAAAUAUUUUAUUAAUUUAUACCUGAGUGAGGCUGAGAGCUUGAUUGUGAGGAUAUUAAUGGGAUCGGGCUGCACGCUACAACAUAUUUUAUUGAUUUAUGCCAUGAUUGGCUUGUUAUACCGCUUGGGCUAAAGCAGCCCCUCUAGAGUCUGCACACCCCCAGUGAGCGCAUGUACCUACUAAGUGCUAGUGCCGAGUGCCGAGUGAUUGGAAGGAUUGAGUGACAUGUGAGGACUGAGUGGUUGUGAGGACUGAGUGACUGUUAGGACUAAGUGAAUUGAUACUCUGAGAGUAUGCAUAUGGUUUUAUUACUGAGUCGCAUCGCAUUUGACAUGCACAUGAUAUAUAGGCAUAGAGAUGCAUUUUCCUCAUGUAGUACAGUAUUACGUCAUUCAUGACUUGUUUUACACACAUUGAUAUGUGGGCAUAGAGAGGUAUUUCACACAUGCUAUCUGGAAAUAAAAUGAAACAUCAUAUUUAAGGUUGAAAGGAUUUUUGGGAAAACUCACAGUUUUCAAACUUACUCGUAUUUUCGACGAUUUCGGUAAAACAGUUAUGUUUCACUGAUAUACUUGACAUGUGGAAAUAUUUUCGUAAAAAACUAUGAAAAAGUUGAGCAUUUUAUCUCUAAGUUACUUCUUUAUUUAAUUGUCUUAUGUUGUUAUGAACUGAUGUUGGCUAUUGAUGUUGGACCCGACCUUUGUUCAAACUCGUCACUAAUUUAAACCUAAGGUUAGGUUUGUUACUUAUUGAAUUUAUAGGGUCGGUUGUACUCAUACUACACUUCUUGCACAUUGCGUGCAGAUUCCGGAUGCCAAUGUUGCUGUGUUCGAUGGUUGCUGGAUUGGAAGAUGUACCUGCGUUCCGGUUGUAGCUGCCUCUUGUUCAUAGUAGCCGUAGAUUAUAAAACUCUUUUUAUGUACUUUUCAAAUAGAAGAUGUAUUUACUUCAUAUCAGCUUUGUAAAUUCUAGUCUUAGAAGCUCAUGAUUUGUACUACAAGUCCUUGGAAAAUGUAUAAGAUUUAGAUUAUUCCUUUUAUUUAAUUAUCUUAUUAAUAUUAGUGGAAUUUGAUAGUUAUUAGUUGGCUUACCUAGUAGGCUAGAUCGUGACCGGUAGUAAAUUGAUCACACCAAUAUACUAAUCAAGGGUGGCAUCUAGCAACACUCCUUAACAACUUAAUAUAAUGAAGUAUACAAUUUAUUCUCAAGAACCAGUAGAAGAAUAAUAUAGUAAUUCAUCAUGUCCUUAUAUCUUUGGGUCACCCUAGGAUAUGGUUCGACUGUAAAAUGCUAAUAGGCGACCAACUAUGUGUUCAUGUCAAAUAUAAUCGACCAUUGAAUGAUCUAAGAAACUCUUUUCUUCUUUCAUUUAAUUGCCCUAGCCACGUUCUUAAUUUGGUCAUUUAUAAUUCAUGACAACACGGUGCAUAAAGUCAUUACCAAGAGUUGACAGAUUCCAUCUUCAUUAAUUACUAAUUCUACAAGUAUUUAAUCGUACCCAAUAUCCUUUCAACUAUCACCCUAGGGCCAUAGGUGUCUAGUAUCAAAGCAUAAUAAAUAACUUGUCAAUUACUAUGACGAUCUCAGGUCAAAGAAAACUCUUACAUCACAUUCUUCAAGAGAAUAUACUAUUGACAGUUUAUGGUAAUUCUAACCAUUAGGAAUUAUCGAAUGAGUCGAUUCAAUGAUCAUAUCUCCAUAUGCAUCAUCUAUCUAUGCGAUUUAGUUAAUGAGAUCAACUAAUCUUUAUCCCAUAAAGACGAUCACAUAAAUAUUGAUCUAACCGGAUUACUAAUACCCAAAUUAAUAAUCCUACGAUCAAGAACAAAAUUUAGAUUAAAUUAUAGAAACUUUACUCUCAUUAUCAUGAUCUCCAUCACGAUGAAAAGUCCCAAGAUUUAAUCAAGGACUUUAUAAAUUUAAUUAAACAAUUAAUAAUAACAAUGAUAAAAGAAUAUCAAAUGCCAUAUAUGUUUUAUAUCAAAUAAUGUUCAUAAAAAUAUAUUCAAAUCAUCAAAUGUGAGAUUGGAUCUAGGGUAUAUCUACUAUAUCCUGAACAUGAACUAACUUUUUCCCAUAAAUAAUUUGUUCUUACUUAGGCUUGAUCAUAAUCCCAACUUCAGACAUGCACUCAUGGACUUAGGGAAGAAAGGUAAGAGAAUGAUAAAAUAAAGAAUUUUUGUUAAUGGGUACAUCAUAGCAUAAUCGGGUAAUGUACGCACAUGAUAAACAUCUAAAUAGAAGAAAAGUUCACACAUACAAAUAUAUUAGAAGGAGUUUAAAAUAAAAAUAAAAAGUAUAAUCUUGAGAAUCCAUGGUCAGGACAUAAAGAUAAGAAGUCUUCUUGAAGAAAUUUUAGACUUGUGGAAUGAAAUCUGGUGAUUAUUUGGUGGUAAACUGCAACAAUAGCAGCUCCAAUAAAUGAUCCAACCCAGAGUUCCACUAUAAAGAAUCAAAAAAAUAAAACCCCUAGCUUUGACUUUUUAUUAUAACCGGAGUAAUGGUGAUGCUUUAGUGUAGAUAUGAUGAAAAUGAUGACAAUUCUUUGAGCUGCUACUAAGAAAGGUAUUCUAGUAGGGUAGCUGUAACGACCCAGCCGGUCGUUUAAUGAAUUAUCGCUCUGUUUUUCCCAUUUAUGCUUCUUAUUUUUCUAUUCAGCUGUAUUAUAUGUUAUCGAGUUGAUUGGUUCGGGUUCAGAGAGGUUUUGGUAAGGUUUGAGACACUUAGUCUCUUUUGAGUAAGCUUAAGUUGGAAAAGUCAACCAGAUGUUGACUUAUAUGAAAAAGGACUCGAAUGUGAAUUAUGAUGGUUCGGAUUGCAUCAGGAGGUGAUUUUUGAGACUUAGGAGCGUGAUCAGAAUGUAUUUUGUAAGUCCGGAGUAGAUUUAGGCUUGAAUUGGCAAAAUUGAAAUUUUGGCAUUUUCCGGUUGAUAGGUGAGAUUUUGAUAUAGGGGUCGGAAUCGAAUUUCAGGAGCUGUAGUAGGUCCGUUGUGUUGUUUGGGACGUGUGUUCAAAAUUUCAGGUUAUUCGGACGUGGUUUGAUAGACUUUUUGAUCGAAAGCGGAAUUGGGAAGUUUUUGGAAUUCUUAGAAUUGAAUCCGAUGUGAUUUAGUGUUUUGAUGUUGUUUUGAGUGUUUCGAAGGUUGGAACAAGUUUGAAUGAUGUUAUGGGAUAUGUUGGCAUGUUUGGUUGAGGUCCUGAGGGCCUCGGGUGAGUUCGAGUGGUAAACGGUCCAAAUGCAUAGUUGAGAAGUUGUAGAUUUUUGGCUUCAGCUGUUGUAGACUUUUCUCCUUCGCGUUGGCGAGUGGGCCCUCGUGUUCGCGAAGGGUUAGUAUGAGAGGCUGGACAUUUGGCCUUCGCGUUCGUGAGGGAGGUCCUGCGUUCGCGAAGGGUUGGAGUCAGGAAGCAUCGCGUUCGCGAGAUGGCAUAUGCGUUCGUGUAAGAGGAUUUUUGGUCAAUGGUAUUUUGUUCUUCGCAAACGCGAGGCUUAGACCGCGUUCGCGAAGAAGGAUUUCAAAUCGUUGGGCAGAAUGAUAAAAAGGCCAUUUUCACGAGUUUUGGCCUAAGUUCACCAUUUUUGACUCGGUUUUGGAGCUUUUUUGAGAGAGAUUGAAGAGGGAAUCAAAGAGACCUUAUUGGAGGUAAGAAUUUUAGACUUAAUACUCGAUCUAAUUGUGAUUUCUACCUAAUUAAACAUGAAGGGGGAUUUGAAGCCUAAAUUAGGGAGUUAGGGCUUGGAAACUUGAGACUUUAAUCUAGGGAUUUGAGGUGUCAUUUGUGGUCGCAUUUUGGUACUCUUGGUAUGUAUGAACUCGUUGGAGGAUAAGGAUUCCGUUGAUGUGAUUUUUAUCAAAUUUCGAGACGUGGGCCCAGGGGUCGGGUUGGACCAAUUUCAGGAUUUUUUGGUAUAAUUUGAUUAAUUUUGCUUCGGCUUCGAUCUCUUAGCAUAUUCUAAUGUUGUGAUUCUGAUUUUUUGUAGAUUCGGCACGAGUUGAGGCUAAGGUGAGAGGCAAAGGCAUUGCGGAGUAGUAUUUCAUCCGGUUUGAGGUAAGUAACCAUUGUAAAUUUGGAACUGAGGGUACAAAACCCCGGUAUUUCGUAUCGUUUUGAUAAAUAAGGUGAAACACAUGCUAGGUAGCGACUAUUAAGCCGCGUACUUGAUUUAAAAUCUUAUGAUAUCCUGUAUUUUAGAAAUUUAUACUGUAUUAUCGGUUGUAUACCAUGUUUGGGGCCUUGUGCCGACCUGUUGAGACCCUUAGAAGCAUUUUUACUCUUUUUCCUCACUCUAUUUGUUUGAAAGCAUAUCCUCAGUCAUGUUUUACCUGCUUAUUGUUUAAAACUAGUUUUAUCACUCUACUUCUUAAAUGUGAGAACUAUUUGGGGCUGAAUUCCCUGAUUUCCACUGUUAUGCUCGAGUGGCUGUGAAGUUAAUGACUGAGAGAGGUUGAGGACCUAAUGGUAAGGAUUAUAAAUACUACGGAACGGGUUGCACGUUGCAGCAAUAUUAUAUGCAUAUAUUAUGGAUCGGAUUGCACGCUGCAGCGAUACUUAUAUGGUUCGGGAUGCACGCCACAGCGAUAUAUAUAUUGGAUUGAGCUGCGUGCUGCAGUGAUAUGACGUUUGGGUUGUAGAACCCCUCCAGAGUUUGUACACCCCCAAUGAGCGUAGUCGACUAUAAACUAUGGAUCGGCCCGCACGCCGCAACGGUUAUUAUGAUUAUUACUAUUAUGAGAUAUUAGUGAGCCUGAGUGCUGAGUGUGAGUGCCGAGUGACGAGAGCUGAGUCACGAGUGAUUGAUAGGCUUGCCCGAGAGGCUAUAUUUAUGAGUGAUGCCUUUCCCAAGGGACCCAGUUAUGAUAUUUUUGCUGAUUUCACUCUUCUUUUAUAAUGAACCUCUGUUGAAAAACUGCAAAGUAAAUGAUUUCAAAGCAUUUCAAUCGAAACUGAAGCUUUAUGAAGAAACUGGUUUUUAAACUGUUGAGUUUGACUUGAUAUUCUGUUGUUUACUCCUUUUAUAUGAUUUUUUUAACUGCUCAUCACUGCUUUCAGACCUUAUUUACUUUAGUUAUUUACUGAGUUGGCAUACUCACGUUACUCCCCGCACCUUGUGUGCAGAUCCAGGUGCCCGAGCGACAGAGUGAGGGCUCUCAGCAUUUCCAGAGCUUAUCGAAGAUUGCAAGGUAGCUGCAUGGUGUCCGCAGCCUUGCUUUCCUCCUUCCUAUCCUUGUUUUUCUGCAUUUUUACACUUGUUAUGUAGUAGACAGUCGAAUCAGUGUAUUUAGAGGCUCUAGACUCGUGACACCAGAUGUUUGGGCUGUGUUGGUCUAUUUUCUGUAAUAUUUUCCACACAUUUCAGUGAUUUAUGAAUUCCUUAUGAAAAUUGAGACUUAGCUAAAUGUUAGAAAAAUAUUUAUAGUGAAAGAAAUUGAAUGUGGUUACUUGUUGGGUUGGCUUACCUAGUAUUGUGAUAGCCGCCAUCACGACCGGGUAUUUGGGGUCGUGACAGUAGUGACGCUAGGUUUGAGACUAAGAUGAGAAUUUGUCCGAAGUUUAUCAAACUUGGGUAUAAAUUAAAUAAUUUUGAAAAAUUUGUUAUAGGUUAAAUAGUGUGCAAAUAGGAUGUAAGUAAAAUUUUGAGAAAUUUUCAAAAAACACUAUUGUUUAGAGGUUAUUAGCUAUCUAUAGCUACCAUUUACUAUAUUACUUCUUACAGCUACGUUUUCAGUUGUUAUAAGGUGUAUUCGAUAUAUUUAAGCUACUGUAUUCAUGAAUACAGUAGCAAAACUCGGCGUGAAUCAGGGGAAGUCCAGCUAAUCAAUUGUUGUAUUCAAUUGUAUUCAAGAGUUAUAUUAGUGAAUACAGUAACGUAAGUUGCAUAAAAAUGGACCUUUCAGUUGUUUUAAAACGGAAAGGGAAUCAAUUAACCAAAUAGUCUCCUAAUAUAACUCAACUAACACAAUUAUAUCAUGCAUAAUAUGUAUUUCACAUUGAAGGAAAGAUUUCCCAUCCGAAAAAUAGCAAAAAACAGAGCAAUCUCUAGAUUUUCAAUCCUUCCUUUCUCUUGUUGUUGACGUUCGAGGAAGUUCUAUUUUCAACCAAUAAAAAUCGAGAUUCAUACAAUUGUAUAUAGAAAUACAAUACAAUUCGAUUUUACAUAUGGCAAGUUUACCCAUGCUAUUGCGUCAUUCUGGCAAGUGGAACAGUGAGAGUAACUAUGUAGAUUAUUCGAUUGAGGGGAUACUGAUAAGGUUUUGGAAUGCAUCUGGAUAAUCGGAAUAUCUCUCACUCUCGACCAAGUCAAAAUAUUUUCUUGGGAUGGUAAAAGCGUUCUUCUCGGUGGAAAAUAUGAAACUGUGUAUGAAAUACAACACAGCUAUUUUGAUGGCAUCCCCAUCGUUGUCAUGACCCCAAUUCUUGUCAUCAAAGCAUUUCAACAAAUCUUUCUUCUUGACAUUCUUUGCACCGCCAAAGUAUGUAUCAAUAAUCCUGUUAGGCACCUUUGUGUUAAGCUAAAAUUCAUCAUGAUCACCAACACAAUUGAGACCAGUGACAAGCGCAAACUCCCUGAUUGAAAAGGAUAAUGUUGUACCAUUGACGUAUAUUGAAAUGAAUCAUCAUCAGUUCCUUCCAGUUGGAGAACCAUGAAGCACCUGAACAAUUGAUGUUGGACCUCACAACGCUUCAUAUUAAGAAAACUUCCAAAACAAGUAGUACAAAAAAAUUGUACUGUUCUGGAGUAAGUUUCUCUUUGAGGUCGGAUACUAUGUUUGUGUUAAAGAAGGAACCGAUAUGCGGUGAUAAAAUAGGUAGGUGUUACAAAAAUAGUUUUAUUUCCUGCAUACAACAAAAAUUACAAAAAAAAUUCAUAAAACUUUUGCAAUACAAAACUCAUUCAUGUUUUGAAUGAACUUCUAAAUACAUCUAAAUACAAUAUGCAAAUGUCACGACCUAAAACUAACCCUAACGUGAUGGCGCCUAACGUGGUACUAGACAAGUCGGCACACUACCAAAACCAAUCAAUAUUUUCAUUUUUAAGACAAAACCAAAGUUAUUUAACAAUAAACCUGCAUAAGGAGCUUAAAUCAAAACAACAGUGCAGAAAGAAAGCCCGACAUCGGGGUGUCACUAGUCAUGAGCAUCUACUACAACCGUUUGACAACAUCAAGACUAACAUAGCCUGGAAAUAACUGAAUACAACUAAGGGAGGAUAAGGAGGGAGAAAAGCAGGCUUGCGAUCGCCAAGAGCUACCUUACUAACUCCGAUGGACUUGUUACUAAGUAAUCAACACCCGCUACCGGGUUUAGAAAUACCUGGAUAUGCACACAAGGUGUAGGGAGUAAUGUGAGUAUGUCAACUCAAUAAGUAAUAAAAGUAAAUAGAGACUGAGUAGUAGUGAUGAGCAAUAAAACAUAUACAGUUCAUAUCAUGAAAUCUCAGUAAAAUAUAGCAGGCUUUUAAAAUCAGGGUUUUGAAUCAACUAAGUUCAUUUAAAUCUAGUUUCAGUAAAACCAUUUAAAACAUCUUUUAACAGUUUUCAACGAAGUGAUGAAACGGUGAGUAAAAAUGAUGAAAACAAAAAUAGCCCCGCAGAAAAAAAAACUCAUAUACAGCCCCUCGGGCAACAUAAAUCAAGAACAGCCCCUCAGCGAACAUCACUCGUGAACAGCCCCUCGGGCAAACAUGAAUCAUAAACAGCCCAUCGGCCAUUACCUCACAAUCGCUCGUAAACAGCCCCUCGGGCAUAAUAUGAAUCAAGAACAACCCCUCGAGCAAAACAUCAUAUCACUCACUUAUGGUACACGCGCUCACUGGAGGUGUACAGACCCCGGAGGGGCUCCUACAGCCCAAGCGCUAUAACAAGCCACCUUAUGGUAUAAAUCAAUCAGGCCCCCGGCCUUCUAACAAGCCACCUCAUGGCAUAAAUCAAUCAGGCUCGUGGCCUCACAAAAAUCAUGAAUCAACAACAACAUGAUGCGGCGUGCAGCUCGAUCCCAUAAUAUCCUCACAACACAGGUCCUCGGCCUCACUCAGUCAGAAACCUCUCAAGCCACUCGAUCUGUUAGUAAAACAGGGUGCUCGGCCCAAAAAUAUCAUUUUAUGCAUCAGAACGGAGUAAUAAAGACUGAAUAAUGAAAUCAGUAAACAUAGCAUGACUGAGUAUAGAUCUUAAAUCAAAUACAUCUUCGUUUUUGGCAUUUGAUUGAUGAUUUCAAAGUGAAAUUUGGGUUUUUUGGUCUAAAGUUAAAGUGAUUUUUUAGUUUUGAACAUCGAUUCGGAGUCGGAAUAAGAUGAAACUAGUAUGGUUGGACUCAUAAUUGAAUAAAUUGUCUACUUUUUUGAGUUUUGUCGGGUUCCGAGAUGGGGGCCCAGGUUGGGCUUUUUGGCUGAUUUUGGGCUUUUGAUUAAAUAUUCGACCUUUUCCAAUUGUGAUUGGUUACUUUAGCAUUGUUUGAUGUAUUUUAGUUUUUUUGGUUAGUUUCGAGUCGUUCAGAGGUCGAAACGCGCAAGAUGGCAUUUUUGGAGAAUCACUUGGCUUGCUCGGUAUUGGAAUUGGCUAGUUUGAGGUAAGUAAUGAUUGUAAAUCGACUCCAAAAUCGCCUAAAUCCAAUCUCCCCAACUCAAAAUAUGACCAAAUAAACAAACCCUUGUUUUAUAUAUUUUUCUGCCAGUUAUGCUGCCUCGAUUCUCAUGCCAACGAACCUGAAAUUCACUUUUGAUGCCUCCAAUGGAUUCCAUGUAACAUUUUAGUCAAGUUAGGCUCUUGAAUCACUCCAUUUGACUUUAUAUUGAAGGAGAUGUGUUGCUUUCAAUAUUUGAAAAUAGGCAGAUUUUUAAAAACGAAUUCAGUGGCAAUUUCGUAAUUAAUCUGGAAAAUCUCACAACUCAAUUCUUAGUAAAAUGACCCUAAAAUCCUUAUACGAUGUUCAAAUUCGAUUAUUCUUUUUGCUAUGGCUCCAUAAUUAUGAUACGGAUCUAAUGCUUCAAUAAAACAUUAAUCGGAGCUUAUUUGCUUAAUAUAGUACCAUUUAUCCUUGAAAAACGACGUUGACACAUAAAAAACGAGCGUAACACAACCCAAACCUAUAUGAAACUCACACGAGCCCCUUGGGACCCUAUUCGAACAUACCAAAAAGUCUCAUAUCAUAAUACGGACCUGUUUGACGCCUCAAAACACAAAUAACAACAUCGAAACGACGAACCACACCUCAAUUCGAAAUCAAUGAACUUGAAACUUCCACAACCGAUGUCGAAACCUAUCAAAUCACGUCCGAUUGACCUAAAAUUUUAUGCACAAGUCACAUUUGACAUUAUGGACCGUCUCCAACUUCCAGAGUCGAAAUCUGAUCACGAUAUGAAAAAUCCACUCUCGGUCAAACUUUUCAAAAUUCCAACUUUCGCUAUUUCAAGCCAAAUUCUAUUAUAGACCUCCAAAUCACAAUCAGAACGCGCUCCUGAGUCCAAAAUCACCCAACAGAGCUAACGGGACCAUCAUAAAUCCAAUCUGAUUCACAUAAGUCAUAAUACUUCCUACGGAGCUACUCAUGCCCUCAAACAAUCGAGCGAAGUGCAAUUGCUCAAAUGAUCGAUCGGGUCUAAACAUACGUUCGUCCUCGAAUGUGUCCAUAGUUGGUCCAAAAGCCAUCAACUUACUGUAUAAUCACACUAUGCACAUACCUGGGGGUGAUCCCACGUCACCGUAUCCCAUAUAGGUCUGAUAACACAAUAUGACUAAAAUUUCUUAAUCCAACCUAGUCCAUAAAUCUUAGGGCCCAAUUUCCAACAUCCGGAAUUUUCUAUAAGAUGAGAACCUCGCAUCUACACACUGUAUAAUUUCGAACAAGUUGUAUCAAACAUAUCCGUAACCCAAGAUGUAAUCACAUGAUAUACCACAUAACUCAAACACUCAUGGCGAUAACUCCUAAUCACAGUAGCUGCUCAAAACAACCCAAUACCUGUAAUACACCUCUUAACAACCAAAGCCUCGUUCUAACACUUUCAUAUAUUGUCAAUGAUGAAAGAAACACGUAGAAACUCAUAACCAUUCGUCAGAUCAACAAGUCAUGGAGGUCACUCUUCUCUGAUAGGAACUAUAGCAGAUUUCUAAGUCGACUUUGUCACACCUCCUUUUUACAUCCGGGAGGGGAUAUAAAGGAGUUUUUCCAAUUGAAGUGACAUUAUUCGAAAUGGGAUUAUUUAUUUAAUUUUCAGAGUCACCACUUGGAAUAAUUUAUAGUGUCUCAAGUCACCGGUUUAUUUUAAAUCCCAAAUCGAGGAAAUUUCGACUUUAUUUUAAAAGUUUGCGAACCAAAAAUUCUAAGUAAGGAAUUCUGUUAACCCGGGAGAAGGUGUUAGGCAUUCCCAAGUUCCGUGGUUCUAGCACGGUUGCUUAGCGAUUUGUACUUAGCUUAAGUCGUUUAACUACACAUUUUUAGGACCUAUGUGCAUUUUAUAUUUUUACCGCUUUUAAUCACUUAAUUUGUUCGUAAUGAAAGAAUUGAGUUACGCGUACGUAUAGUCAUUUCCUUUGGCGCGUCAAAAAUCAUGUCACGCGUACGUAUCCACAAUUAAUCACGUUUUAUUAAUUAUUAAGAAAAUUGGGUUGAAGUUGUGCGAACGCAUCCCUCAAUUUAUUUUUUAGAACUAAAUUCGUAAUUAUGUUACGCGAACGUAUACAUAAUCACAAUAAUAAUCUAAGUCGUGCUUAAAGCAAACUAACGGAGUUCAUUAUUCUUCCUAAAUUUUGAGAUUAUUGUGAGGCUUAAGAGUUAUACAUCCUUCUGACUUAGCACCACGCAUGGCCUAUUAUUAUUCCUUGCCAAGAAUGAAACAACUCCAAAUUUAUCAUCUACCCAAAUUAAAAGCAUUUAUUCGAGAACCAAGAUUACGUAUAUCACAAUCAAAAUAAAAACUAAUUAAAAUAAUUUAAUUGCAAACUAAGUCAUGCCACUCAAACAACGUAGAAACAAAAAUCAACCAACACACACACCAAGCUAUUGUAAUAAAAGGAAAUGAGAAUGAAAAUUGAGAAAUAGACCUUUUAUUGAUGAACAAAACUGAAAAUUGCAAAUCAAUCAGGCUUAACAAGGCAACAAUCUUGAGAUUGAAACAUCAAAAUUAUGAACCGGAACCUCAAAUUGACAUCGGAGAGCUCGAAACCCAAAUCAACCUUAGAUAAACUAGAACCUCCAAACAUUUGACAAAGCAGACCAUCCCUUAAUAUUUGUGCUCUUUAAAAUGUUUACCACCGCCGAAAACUUUGUGAACAGGAUGUUCCCUAAAACAAAAGCCGACAAACUUUAGACUUAAACCACGACGUUACGGGAGGAGAUGAUGUUGUUUUCUUAUUUUUAUCAGAAUCAAAAAAAAGACGAAGAAGAGUGAUAGUUAUUAUUACGGAGAUGAUGUUGUUUCCUACAUUACACUCCUUGUUUUCUUAUCAAUCCUGCCAUUUUUAGUGUAGCUCCUAGGUCUAGGUAUUGAAAACUUAGGGUAAGGUUUCUAUAAUUGGAUAUUUUAUAUGGAGGUGGGAAGGGAUGAUGGCCACUAGAUUAGAAGGAAAUACAUAGCUAGGAUUAAAUCUUGCACUUAAGUGGGCUAAUGGGUUGGAAAGAAUGGGCUAAGGGUAAUUGGGUUGGACCAUGUCAUUUGGGUUAAAACUUAGGCUAAAAAGACCAAAUAAUAUAAUGUAUCUAUAAAAAUGUAAAAAUCACUCUAAAUUAAAAUAAACUAAUAUAAAACUAAAUACUACGAGUGAAACUAAUUUUUUGUAUUUUCAAAUGUUAUAAUACUAUAAAUAUAAAUAUACUAAUUGACUUUAACCUAAAGAUGAAAAUAUUUAUUUUAUUUUUUGUAAUUUUUAUUUUUUUGUGAUAAAAUAAAGUAAAAGAGUCAAAACUAUUUAAAAUAACGAUAUUAAACCUAAACUAAAUAUUUUACGCUAAAAUGUGUAAAAUCUUGGGGAUGGUCAAAAAUUACAUGUCUACAGCUGCCCUUCUUUGACUGGAAACGCGAAGAGUUUUCAGGCAAAGAACGACGAGACAGGUUUUUCGACCCGACCCUUAUUUAGAGCGACCAAAAACUAAGAGAAAGGAGAAUGUGACCAAGCCCUGGUAUCUGAGCUGCCUACAUAUCCUUGGCUAUAAAGGAAUCAGGCCACGUGUAGUUCGGAAUUAGGAAGAGUGAUGGAGUAUACCGAGGUGGAGAGCCGAUUGAGGUGUCGUCGAGGUUCCGGUCCGCGGUAUCGUUAUUACACCAAAAUCAAAAAUGAAAAGACUAACUAAGCUUAUCAGCUACGAGUUACAAGAUUACUAUCUAUGAGUCUUCUGAAGUUUGAUCUUCAGUCUUGGUUGGUCCUUCAUGCGGACUCUGAUCUGAAUCUUAAUGCUUGUUAGCUGCAGGUGCUGGUUCUUUCCUUUUUCAACUUCUCAGAUCAAGGCGAGACAUGCAAAGCUUGUGAUUUCAAUCACGUCUUGAGCGGUCCACAUCUUUUCUCCGCUUCUGCACUUUAAGUUCACUUCUUUUUCUUUUUUUUCUUUUUUCCUUAUUCGGGAUUGAGACUCAUUCUUUUGGUCGUCUCGAACCUUGUGCCUUGAGGUAAAACCUGAUCAGACACCAAAACAAGCAAACGAACGAAUGAAAUUUUUUUGCCCCAGUUUUCACUAGGAAAAUUCGUGAGUUAUUUUAAUAAAAUUCUAAACUACUUCUUUAUUGAAAGCAAUAAAAGGUCGGGAUUGUGUAUCCUUGGGAAAAAGAGAUUAGGGAGUGGAGUCCCUAUAUCUAAAAUGAAAUCAACUAGGGAUUGGAGACCCUAAGUUGGAAAGAUUACCAGGUUAUGUUGGCAUCAACUAAGGAGUGGGACCCUAUGUUGGAAAAGAUUACCAAGUUAUGCUGGCAUCAACUAGGGAGUGGGACCUAUGUUGGAAAAGAUUACCAGGCUAUGCUGGCAUCAACUACUGAAUUGGACCCUAUUUUGGAAGAGAAAACUAGGGAGUGGAGACCCUAUGUCUAAACCGAACCAAGAAGGAUUUUUGUGUUUUUUUUUUUGGAAGAAAAUCAUUUUUUUGUGUUUGAGAAAAUCAUUAUUUUAAACAAAUUGCUCAAACGCUUUUUUUAAGAAAUUAUUAUCCUAGGAGAAAAUUCACCAGGCUAGGUUUCUUUUUUUUUGUAUCUUAGGAGAAAGAUUCAUCAGACUAAGAUUCUUUUUUUUGGUAUCUUAGGAGAAAGAUUCAUCAGACUAAGAUGUAUAUCCUAGGAGAAAAUUCAUCAGACUAGGUUUUCUAUCUUAGGAGAAAUAUUCAUUAGACUAAGAUUUCGAUCCGAGGAGAAAAGUUCAUCAGACUAGGUCUUUUUUUGGUAUCUUAGGAGAAAGAUUCAUCAAACUAAGAUUUCUAUCCUAGGAGAAAAUUCGUCAGACUAGAUUUUCUAUCUUAGGAAAAAGAUUGAUCAGACGAAGAUUUUGAUCCUAGGAAAAAGUUCAUCAGACUAGGUCUUCUAUCUCAGGAGAAAGAUCCAUCAGCCUAAGAUUUUGAUCCUAGGAGAAAAUUCAUCAAACUAGGUCCUUUUUUGUUAUCUUAGGAGAAAGAUUUAUCAGACUAAGUUUUGUUUUGUUAUCUUAGGAGAAAGAUUCAUCAAACUAAGAUUUUUAUACUAGGAGAAAGAUUCAUCAGACUAAGUUUUCUUAUCUUAGGAGAAAAGAUUCAUCAGACUAAGAUUUUGAUCUUAGAAGAAAGUUCAUCAAACUAGGUUUUCUAUCUUAGUAGAAAGAUUCAUCAGACUAAGAUUUUUAUUGGGAGGAAAAUCCAUCUGACUAGGACUUUUUAUCCUAGGAGGAAAAAUAUGGAGAUCAAUGGCAAGGUUUUGUGCACAAUGGCAAGGUUUUGUGCACAAUAGCAAGACAAAUAAAGGCGAAUAUUUGAGGAACUUCCCUUUGUCGGCUCUUCUCUUCUUUUCUUUUUCUUCUCUUUUUUUUUUGUUUUUUUUUCUUUUUUUUGAACCACUUUCCUUGAACUGCCUUGUUCCUGUUUCACACAAAGAAAAAUUUGUCAGUUUUGAAAAUGGUGGUCAGUUUGUAGCCUUGAGUCUUGGGCAACUUGGCUUCUUCUCAAUCAGCUUGAGUCGGUUUCAAGAAACUUUUGCUCUACAUAAACCCUAAUUAUUUCACACCCAGUACCAUUUAUAUUUGUGGCUCAAUCAGCCUUAUCCCAACUGGAGAUCUUUUCUUAGAUGACCUUUUCUGAUAUCUUGAGUGACUUCCUGCUUUUGAGCAAUUUGUCUGUCAGAGAGAAUCACAAGUUAUCUUUGCUUGCGCCAAGUAGGUUGACAAGAGUCUUUUGGGGGAGCUUUUGCAUGAAUCCUAAAGGCAUGUUACAAGUAGGAACUGAGUAUGCUGGCCAAAUUUACUUUGUGCAACUAAAAAGCUGGUAGCAGAUUUUGAAAUCUUUUUUUGCUUGUUUUGACAGGACUAACUUAGAGUGAAGGACACAAUAAUGCAAAGAAACAAGUAUUAACAAGAAGUGCCCCUGUUGGAAGGACGGAAGGAAGAGUUUUUUUUCAAUAACUAGCCUUAAUGAUCAUGACAUGCAUUUUGGACUUGAUAGUCAAUCUAUCAAACUAACCAAAUCUUUUCUUUUACCAUUCUUAUGACCUUUGAAGUCGGGCUUGUUCGUGAUGAUCCUUUGCAUCGGCUUCAUGACUCACUUUCGACAAGUGUUGGCCCAAGGUGUUUUCACGAACCAGUCUCUCUCAUUUAUUCAUCUCUGCUUACCGUCGUCUUACAGUGCCCAUGAGGGUUUUUAAUAGUAAGACUCUCUCAUUUUUCUUCUUUAUUUUUCUUUUUCUUUUGCUUUCUUGUGCGAGCAUCUUGACAGUGUUCUAUGUCGUGUGAAAACUAUUGUUCAUUGCAUGCGUCUCUUGGCAUUCUUGAAGGCUGAAUAGGAGGUCUUUAUUUGGAAGGUUUUUGGAUAGGGUUGGAAAGAAAUGACGUCAUGAAAUUUUAAAAUAGACUCAAAGUAAAGGGUUGUAGAUUUACAACUCUUGGAAUCGACUCUUUCAAAAGUGAAAUAAAAUCUUUUCCCCAGUUUCAGCUAUUGGGAUUUUUUUUUUUUGGAAUUCUUAUUUGGUUGGACCAAACCGUGAGGUUGCCUACGUAUCCUUUAUUAAGGAAUCAGGUCGAACGUAGUUCAAACAUCUGACCUAACUAUUUUUCAUCUUUGUUUCUGUUUCGUUUUUUUUCUUUUUCUAUUUUUUACUUUUCGUUUUCAAAACAAGUUGCCCCAAUUUCUAUUUUCUGGGCGCAUGGACCAUUGACAGUUCUUUUCUUCUUCAUCUUUUUUCACUUGAAAUUUCUAUGAAUUGCCCCAGUUUGUACUCUUGAGACAUUGAAUUUUUUUAUUUUUCUUUUUUUUUCAUUUUUUGUUUUUUUAAUCUUCAUUCUAUACUUGAUUCCAAAAGAGGGUGGUCAAAGAAAAUAACACAAGUUCAAAAGGGGUAACAAAGGGUAUAAAGUGUUUGGAUAGCAAAAAGGGCCUCCCAGCCUCGAGAACGUCAAUUAUAGUAUCUUUUCGCGAUCACAUCAUUGAUGAACAUGCUUGUCUUCUUGGGUCUUUUUUAGUAUAAAGCUGUAUGAGCAAUACUUUCCUCGCUGUGAAUGACCCUUGUCAAUUUGGGUGACUUUCCUUGGAUUUUGUCUUGAUUUAGAAGAUGUAUUUUGCAAUUUUCAUGUUGUCUGGAAUACACCUUCUAUUGAAAACACUUUCUAUCUCUUAGUGCUAAACAAACUUCAACCCAUCCCAUUAUCCUUAAGCCCGAUCUUCUCAAAUGACUCAAAAGGUAGAGAUCCUUAACUUCCAUGAGCAUGACUAUUUUGGUUCCAUAUAAAAUUGGCUCAUGCUUAUUGUUUAAAUGUUUUAUGUCUCUAUUCAUCUUCGAAAAUGUCUCUUUCUCACUUAUCCAAUUCAAGACUAAAUCAGUUUUCUAAGAUCUGGCCAAAAUUCCGCAUGCAUGUCAUGUCAUUAGAACUAGCAUGAAAAGAACUAUGCACAAAAUGGCUAACUACUUUUGUUUAAUUGAAUAAAGGAUAGAAAGGUCCAAUAGCACAAAAAGAAGAAGAAAAGAUGACAAAAUAAGCUACCAUGACUGAAGGAGGAGUGACUUUCUAGUUACUAAGCGAUAUCUUAGCCACACAUUCGCACAUCAGCACUACUAUGGCAUUUGACCAUUUUGAUUUCUUUGGAUUCAACACUCAAAUUUUGACAAUCAUCCCGAGCAGCCCAUGUCUUAUUGCUCAAAUCUGGUAAAGUCAACCUCACAUUUGCCUCCAUUAAAUUUUUUGCCGCCAAAUUGCCUACUUGCCCUCUCGUGAUCUUGGAUCAACAACAAUGGUGCUUGUUCCAUUGGUUGAGAAGAUGUUUUUAUUUUUGAAAGAUCUUGGAUUGUUUUUGUGACUCGCCAUUGCAAACCAACUACCUUUGACUAGCUUUUAUUUCAAAACAACAGGCAUGUUAGAAUAAACACUCUCUUUCUUUUCUCUUUUUUUUUGUUUUUAACCAUUCGAUCGAACUUGAUGUGGGUUGCCUACGUAUCAUGACGCCGCAUUAAUCAGAUCUUUGCAUAGUUCGAGAAGAUCAGGAAUAAAGUAAAUAAACUAACUUUUUUUGGAUUUUGAAUUUUAUUUUACUUUUUCGAAAGAAAGACUUAUAAAGAAGAAAGAGAAUAGUUUUGGAUUUUGAUUUUUCUUCAGAAUGUUUGCAAAGAAAGACUUCUAAAGAAGAAAGAUUUUUUUUUUUGAAUUUAUGAAAGAAAUACUUCUAAAAAAAGAAAAUAUUUUUGAAUCUUGAAUUUUCUUUUCAAUUUUUGAAGAACAAAAAAAAAAUUGGAUUUUGAGAAGAAACUAAAAGAAAAUAUUUUUCUAUAUUUUAUUUUUUUAAAAAAAAUUGGGGUCUAAAAGAAAGAAUUUCUAAGGAAGCAAGUAAUGGAAAAUAUUUUUGGAUUUUUUUUUAAAAGAAAUUGUGGUCCCAAAGAAUGACUUUUCUAAAGUAAAGGAAAAUAUUUUUGAAGUUUUUUUUAAAAUGUGGGCCGGAACCGAUGAGGUUUGCCUACGUAUCUCAAAUUCGGUAAGAAACAGACCCGCGUAGUUCGGCCGUUUUGACAUAAUUGAAAAAACAUGAUGUUGACUCACUUUCAUUUUUUUGAAAUACAUUUUGUGUUUCUCUUUUUUUCAAAAUUUUGGCAGAAUUUCGAGGCAUUUUAAAUGUGAUGACCCAAAAGAUCAUCACUUGUGUUGCAAUAAAAUUCUACAUUCCGAGGACUUAAAAAACCUCCCUAAGCACCACCUCGAUUUGCGUGCAUCGUCCGGACGCAUAGCCUGAAAGCUUAAAUGUGAAAAUCUGUGAAAAAUGAUAAGUUUUGACGGUAAAAUGAAUAAAUUUGACUUCAAUCAAUAUUUUGGGUAAACGGACCCGGACCCGUGAUUUGACGGUCCUGGAGGGUCCGUAGGAAAAUAUGGGACUUGAGCGUAUGCCUGGAAUCGGAUUCCGAGGUCCCAAUCCCGAGAAACGAAUUUUUUAAAGAAAAUUAUUUUCUAAAAUUGUUUAAAGAAAUUUGAAAUGAAAUUUGUUUAGAACAUGGUGGUAUCGGGCCCUUAUUUUGGUUCAGGCAUCCGGUACUGGUCUUAUAUAUGAUUUAAGACAUUUCUGUGAAAUUUGGUGAAAAACGGAUGUCAUAUGACUGUAUUCGGACUUAAAUCGCAAAAUUUAUGUUUAACGAAGUUUUGAGAAAAUUUCAUUGAUCUCGAGAUUUAAUGUGAUGUUCAUGAUGUUAUUUUGAUUAUUUGAUUACACGAAUAAGUCCGUAGGAUGUUUUUGAGGUUUUGUGUGCGCUUGGUAUGGAGUUCCAAGGGCUCGGGUGAGUUUUGGGUAGGUUUCGGGGGGUCUAAGGCUUAAAAACUGAGCUUUUGCAGGCUCAGAGUGGUAGAGGACCUCUGAACAGGCAUGCGGUCUGCACGAUAUGGACUGUUGCCACGGAGAAGCCUGUGCGGCCGCACUAGUUUUGGUGCGGUCCGCGAUGAAGAACAAUUUACUGGUCCAACUUCGGAAGUCUAUAUCUUUUUAUCUACAGAGAAUUGUGAGAUAUUUCAAAAACAAAAGUUGUAGCUCUUCGUGUCUAGUUUCCAGAAAUGCAAAGAAUUCACAAUUUGGACAUCUUUAGAGAAAGUUAUGGCCGAAAUACGUAGACCUGUCACUGCAGAACACAGGAAGCCUGUGUGGCCGCAGUUGAUUUUGUGCGGUCCGCACACGACAUCUGAGGGCAGUAUAUUUAGACGGGAUUUUCAGUUAUUUUUCAUUUUUUAAGACCCCAAAAACAUAAGAGGCGAUUUUUCAAACAACCUUUCUUCUCCAAAGCAAUUGUAAGAAGUUUUUAACUAGUUUUCUUCAAUCAUUAACAUCUUUUAACAUGAUUUCAACUUCAAAUCAAUGAUUUUCAUUGGGGAAAUUAGGUGUUUUGGUAGAACCUAGGUUUUUCAAAAAUUGGGUAUUUCGACCUCGAUUUGAGGUCCGAUUUCAAAACAAAUACAUAUUUGAGCUCGUGGGGGAAUGGGUAAUCGGGUUUGGUUUAAACCUCGAUUUUGACCACGUGGGCCUGAGGGUGAUUUUGACUUUUUGGGGUAAAACUUUAGAAAACUCAUUUUCAUGCAUUCAAAUUGAUUCAUUUAAUGUUUAUUGAUGUAAUUAAGUAACUUGUAGCUAGAUACGAGCGAAUUGACGGAGGAAUCAAGGGGUAAAGCUAUAAUUGAAACUUGAGUUGUGUUCGAGGCAUCGAGGUAAGUGUUUAGUCUAACCUUAGCUUGAGGGAUUAGGAGUUAUGUCAUAUUUGCUAAUUGCUUCUUGUUGAGUACGACGUAUAGGCAUGGUGACGAGUAUCUAUACGUUGGUGACAAGCAUGACCGUGGGUCUUAUUUUGUGAUUUUCAUGACUUCGUUGUAUUAUUCAUGCCAUGGUGAAGAUUUCUAUUUGUUGUGUAAAGUUGUGGAAAGAAUUGUGACCUAUGAACAUUGAGGAGCGUUGGCUCCAGUAGUAUAACGAAUUGUGAAAUUAUAAGUGAUAAUUGAAACUCUAGAGUAUUGGUUCGAGUUGUGAAGUGAAUUGUGAAGUAAAAGUGAGAAGGAGAAGAGAUCAUUAUGUUUCCCCCUUACUGGGCUAUUUUUGAGUUGUGGUUCCCUUGCAUUGUGUUCUUAAUUGAUAUUACGAAUGCAUAGGUUGAUUCUUUGGGUUAGGUGUUGUAACAAGUUUAGUUAUAGCUGAGGUAGUUAGGUGUCGUAACAAGUUUGGUUAUAGCUGAGGUAGUUAGAUGUUGUAACACGUUUGGCUAUAGCAGAGGUAGUUAGAUGUUGUAACAAGUUUGGCUAUAGCAGAGGUAGUUAGAUGUUGUAACAAGUUUGGCUAUAGCUGAGGUAGUUAGAUGUUGUAACAAGUUUGGUUAUAGCUAAGGUAGUUAGAUGUUGUAACAAGUUCGGUUAUAGUUGUUUCUCCCUUGCCGGGAUAUUGUGAGAUAUCAUUGUUUUCUUACCGGGAUGUUUGUUGAUAUUAUUGUUCCCUUGCCGGAAUUCCUUGUGAUUAUUGUUGGCUUGUAAUUGGGAGCGGGUGGUACGCCUACCACAAGAUACAAUGAAAUGUGAGCGGGUGGUACGCCUACCACAAGAUACAAUGAAAUGGGAGCGGGUGGUACGCCUACCACAAGAUACAAUGAAAUGGGAGCGGGUGGUACGCCUACCACAAGAUAUAAUGAAAUGGGAGUGGGUAGUACGCCUACCACAAGAUACAAUGAAAUGGGAGCGGGUUGCACGCCUGCCACGAGAUACAUGAAAUGGGAGCGGGUGGCAUGCCUGCCACAAGAUAUGAGAAAUGGGAUCGGGUUGCACGCCUGCAACAAGAUGUGAAAAGAAAGUGAAAUCUGCCUUUGUUUUUCUUUAAUCUUGUUAGUGGUUGGAUUCCUUUAUAUUCUAUUGAUAUUCUGUUUUUACUUGUUUUUCCCCGAAGUAUGUUCCCCCCUCCCUAGUUUUAAUUGUUUAUUUUCGUAUUUCUUUUCCGCUAUAUAUAUUUGAACUUCAUAGGUUUAUUUGGUAGUUUGGUCCUGGCCUCAUCACUACUUCGUUGAGGUUAGGCUAGGCACUUACCAGCACAUGGGGUCGGUUGUGCUGAUAAUACACUCUGCACUCUUUUGUGCAGACCCCAGUGUUGUGGACUUCGGACCGUGGUGAGAUUGUUGAUUCUUGAUCAUCAGGCGACCCGAGGUAGUCCUGCAGGCAUCCGCGGGCCUUGGCGUCCCCUUCUAUCUACUAUUCCUAUUUUUUUCAUGCAUUUCUAGAGACAGUGUUGUAUUUAUUUCUUUCAGAACCUUUAUUUGUAGUAUUCUUAGACCGUCUGUGAAACUGUGACACCAAUUCUGGGUGAUUAAGGUUUAAGCUGUUGUAAUAGAUAUAUGUUCAGAUAUUCUAUUGUUUUCUUCCACUUAUUCUGAAUUUCCGUUGUUUACCCGUUAUUGUUUUAUAUAAUGUUAAAGAGAAUAGAAAUUGGUAAAAAGGUAAAUUGUCUAAUAAUUGGCUUGCCUAGCUAACAUUAGUAGGCGCCAUCACAACUCCCGAGGGUGAAAAAUUUGGGUCGUGACAUUAAAUACUGGGUUUUCAGAACCGGGUGAAUUCUCUAUCCUACCUCACUCUUGGUUUUUCUGUUGUUUUUCUUUUGUUAGCCGGUCAAUAUAUAAACCGAAAAGAAUAAAUGUACACAUAGCAUGUAAGAUACAUCAGGAUGGUCUGGUCUUUUGGGUACACCUGUCCUAGACGGACCCAACCCCUGUGUUGAGUCCCCAAAGUUAAAUGCACGUGAUGCAAACAAACGCUCCUACUAGGGAUCCGGCAUGAGGUUAUGUUAUUCUAGGUUUAAACCUUGGGUUGUGUUCUUGAUCAGGCUUACCCGAGCGGACAACUCGAGCCGAAGAGUGGGCAAACGUACCGGGAGCACGAAAGUCUACCCGGCCUUGUUGCUGGCCCAGCCUCGUUCUAUUUGGUAUAACUUCUAACAGAAAAGUGGGCCACGAACGUGUGCACCAUUUUUUAGAAGACUCAGGUGGGAGGCGUAAGAAAACAAUUUAAUAUAAUUCAAAUAAUAUCAAAGCGGUAAAUAAGCGGCAAUAAGCACAUUAGGUCCACAAAUACAGUAAUAUCAACAAAUAAUAAAGCCAAGCAUAGAUCAUAUUAACAAGCUCGAAUUCUGAACCCUGAACCAAAGAUCAUGGGUUCUUUUCCCCAGCAGAGUCGCUAGAGCUGUCACACCUCCUUUUUACACCCAAGAGGGGAUAUAAGGGAGUUUUUCAAAUUAAAGUGAUAUUAUUCGAAAUUGGAUUAUUUAUUUAAUUUUCAGAGUCUCCACUUGGAAUAAUUUAUGGUGUCCCAAGUCACCGGUUUAUUUUAAAGACCAAAUCGAGGAAAUUUCGACUUUAUUUUAAAAGUCUGCGAACCAGAAAUUCUACGUAAGGAAUUUUGUUAACCCGGGAGAAGGUGUUAGGCAUUCCCGGGUUCCGUGGUUCUAGCACGGUCGCUUAGUGAUUUGUACUUAGCUUAAGUCGUUUAACUACUCAUUUUUAGGACUUAUGUGCAUUUAUCUUUUUACCGCUUUUAAUCACUUGAUUUGUUCGUAAUGAAAGAAUUGAGUUAUGCGUACGUAUACUCAUUUCCUUUGGCGCGUCAAAAAUCAUGUCAUGCGUACGUGUCCAUAAUUAAUCACGCUUUAUUAAUUAAUAAGAAAACUUGGUUGAAGUUGCGCGAACGCAUCCCUCGAUUUAUUUUUUAGAAUUAAAUUCGUAAUUCUGUUAUGCGAACGUAUAUAUAAUCACAAUAAUAGUCUAAGCCAUGCCUAAAGCAAACUAACAGUGUUCAUUAUUCUUCCUAAAAUUUGAGAUUAUUGUGAGGCUUAAGAGUUAUACAUCCUUCUGACUUAGCACCACUCAUGGCAUAUUAUUAUUCCUUGCCAAGAAAGAAAUAACUCCAAAUUUUCCAUCUACCCAAAUUAAAAGCAUUUAUUCGAGAACCAAGACUACGUACAUCACAAUCGAAAUAAAAACUAAUUAAAAUAAUUUAAUUUCAAACUAAGUCAUGCCACUCAAACAAUGUAGAAACAAAAAUCAACCAACACACGCACCAAGCUAUUGUAAGAACAAUGAAAUGAGAAUAAAAAUUGAGAAAUAGGCCUUUUAUUGAUGAACAAAACUAAAUAUUGCAAAUCAAUCAGGCUGAACAAGGCAACAAUCUUGAGAUUGAAACAUCAAAAUUAAGAAUCGGAACCUCAAAUCGACACAGGAGAGCUCGAAACCCAAAUCGACCUCAGAUAAACUAGAACCUCCAAACAUCUGACAAAGCAGACCAUCUCUUAAUAUUUUUGCUCUUUAAAAUGUUUACCACUGCCGAAAACUUUGUGAACAGGAUGUUCCCUACCAAAAAGCCGACGAACUUUAGACUUAAACCACGACGUUACGGGAGGAGAUGACGUUGUUUUCUUAUCGUCAUCAGAAUAAGAAAAAGACGAAGAAGAGUGAUGGUUAUUAUUACUGAGAUAAAGUGUUUCAGUGAUUUUAUUUUUUAUAGAUUCUCUGGCUCAUCCGAUUUCUCCACUUUACACUCCUCGUGUUCCUACAUUAUCAGUAAAGUAAAACCCAAAUCUUGAAAUUCAGUCAAGUUAUGUGUCUAUUGUAUCUGAGAGAAAAAGUUGUAAAGAUUCAUUUUUGUGUGUUUGUAUUUCUUUCACUUUUUAAUUUUUUUGGAACAAAACAAGGAAAAGAUCAUAGAAUAAAGAUGAAAAACCUUAGCAAUCCUGUCGUUUUUAGUGUAGCUCCUAAGUCUAGGUAUUGAAAACUUAGGGUUGGGUUCCUAUAAUUGGGUAUUUUAUAUGGAGGUGGAAAGGGAUGAUGGCAAUUGGAUUAGAAGGGAAUAGAUGGCUAGGAUUAAAUCUUGCACUUAAGUGGGCUAAUGGGUUGGGAAGAAUGGGCUAAGGGUAAUUGGGUUGGACCAUGUCUUUUGGAUUUGAACUUAGGCUAAAAAGACCAAAUAAUACAAUGUAUCUAUAAAAAUGUAAAAAUCACUCUAAAUUAAAAUAAACUAAUAUAAAACUAAACACUACGAGUGAAACUAAUUUUUUGUAUUUUCAAAUGUUAUAAUACUAUAAAUAUAAAUAUACUAAUUGACUUUAACCUAAAGAUGAAAAUAUUUAUUUUAUUUUUUUUNNNNNNNNNNNNNNNNNNNNNNNNNNNNNNNNNNNNNNNNNNNNNNNNNNNNNNNNNNNNNNNNNNNNNNNNNNNNNNNNNNNNNNNNNNNNNNNNNNNNNNNNNNNNNNNNNNNNNNNNNNNNNNNNNNNNNNNNNNNNNNNNNNNNNNNNNNNNNNNNNNNNNNNNNNNNNNNNNNNNNNNNNNGUAAUUUUUAUUUUUUGUGAUAAAAUAAAGUAAAAGAGUCAAAACUAUUUAAUAUAAUGAUAUUAAACCUAAACUAAAUAUUUUACGCUAAAACGUGUAAAAUCUUGGGGAGGGUCAAAAAUUACAUGUCUACAGACUAGGAAUAUUAUCCUUCCAACCAUGUUGUAGCCAAUUCUGAUAGUAUUCAUUCUAGGUCCAAUGACCUCAUCUCAUCCAACACAACCACUCUAAUGACAUGACACAUCAAUACAGUCCAAAGCCAUAACCUGUGCAACUCGUGCACCCAAUAGCAACAUCCCCAAAUGUACUCAAAUCAUGAAAAAAAUGACUCAAACGGGAGGACUAUCCCGCAAGCUUAACAAGUACUGCCACAAUGAAAUACUGUAAAUUCAUCACACCCCGUAGGACCAUCACACGAAUCUAACACAGGUUCAUACCUCAACAUAAUUUUGCUGCAAUGUGUGCCCCAUCCAAACACUAAUCCAUGGCAUAUACCUCAAGCCACCUUGCUCAAAAUCAAUAACCACGCGCAACGACAUCAAGUACUCAAAGUGCAUUACCAUAACCAUGGAGAAGCAAAUGACAUAACACCACAUGAAACCCGAAAGAGCAUAACCAAUAUGCUAUACAUCAAGCGAUAUCCAAUACUCUUCUCGCUCAAAUCCGUUAUAGGACUCCAAUAGAACCACACUAUAUGUGUAUACAACCAACAAAUCAUGACCCCUCAUAAUAUAGAAGAGUAGCUCAUAGAUCACUCCAGAACACGAAUAAGCUCAACAAUAAUCGAAUGGCACAUCCCUCAAUAAUAGCAAUUCAAAGUCAACAAAUCUGACCCGGUACAGAACACACCUCCAUGUUGGGCCUACCAAUGAACCCCAAAUCUACUCUGGUCCCCCACGAUAGAUAAAUAACCCUCUGAAAGUCUAAAUGACUGAAUCACAACAUAUACUAACCUCUGACUAAACUUGGAUACUUUUUACGGUCGACAACCACGAAACAAUCUACUCACCAGAACUCUCAAUCUCUAAAUCCAUAGAAUAUACGAAUCACCAUCUCUGAUCUCAACUCCACCGCCUAAAUGCCCAUACUUCUCCAAUUACACAGUCACCCCACGAGGAAUACUUCUAGAAGUCUUCUAUACCACAAAGCAAAAAUUGAACUCCAGCAGUCGAUCAAACAAGAGAGUGUCGCAAUACCAAUAAAGUAUCCAUAACUCCCACACAUCGCCCUUUCUGAAAUGUAUAAUCUCAUUAAGCCAUACCAGUUAGUAAUAUCAUUUACCUAGUCAUCAGAAAUUGUCCAUGUUGCUUAAGAAUUUAUGACCUUCCUUUCAGAAUUGAACUGUGACCUUACACAUGCAAAUCCCAACCUUACACAACUUACCACAUAUACCAUGUCAUCCCAUGAUAAAUAUGAGAACUUCAUAAUCCACUUCGAGUCACAAGCAACUAAGUACUCAACUAGCCAAGAACUUUUCAUUUGACCCCAUCUAGGAGAAGAUCACUACACAUCACAUGAUCCUCACGCCAGUAGAAGAUAUACCUCUCUAACCAUGGUAGAAACCACCAAGAACUCUCUGAAUCCCAUUUGCUCAAAACCCAACCGUCAGGAUUGAAUCCUUCUACCCCAACCAAGCUACACAUGUCACCAAAACUCAAGCGCAUCACCACGAAACACAUGUAGAAACUCAUUACCUCAUAAACACCCAAAGAACUAAUCAUACCCAUUACCAUGUCAAUCCAACCUACUACCAAGCUAUCCUAUUUAUUCGAGUUCCUUCUGAAUUGCAUUCACAUUGAUACUUCUCCUCACCAUAAUACCUCAAUCCUCAAUCCAGACUCACCACAUGAGACCCUAACAUAAACCACACUGCCCUAAGGCUCAUAAGCCGCUGAAUGCUCUCUUAAGCACCCCAAAAGUACCACAAUCGAGAUACUCACUCCAAAGAGACCUUCUAUGAAUUUCAAGUUGUUCAUCUUACUUUCUUGAUACUGAAAUGUAUAAUCCACAAUGAUGUAGAAACACUGCGAGCCUCGACACUAUCCAAUGUAACUCUUAGCUUCAAGCCACAUACGAACCCCCAAAAAUUCUCAAUUGCCAUAUAUAAAUAUUGAAUUCAUUAGAACCAUUCUCGAGAGUUAUCCACUCUGCUUAAAUCUUGAUUAGACAGAUCAAAUGGGCUAAUCGACCUUAGCCCCAUUAGCACUCCAACACCCAAGGAUGUAACCCCACCUAAAUGCAACCAGAUAAAUUUCUGCUCCACGAACAUUAUAUCCUUAACCAAUAAGAACUCAAAUCAUUCCAUGAUUCUCAUAUACUCAUAUAAUCUAAUAAAACUCAUACCCAGAAAUUUCCUUUACUCGAGUCAUCCUUGAUCUCAACCUCUGCAAGUCAUAACUGAUUCACCAGUAUACCUCAAACUGAAACUAAUAUGACACUUAGUCGUGCAAUCAACUUAUCAAUAGUAGACUCCCCCCUUGGAUAAAAGCCAUAGAUCAAAACACACAAAAACUCACAAUGUCCAUACUCUAUUACUUCCAUAAUACCAUAGUGAGAUUGAACUAAAUCCUUCAUAAGCUUGUUCAACACAACCAUCUAGUACUUCAAUCAUCUACAAAUCUCGCAUUUACCCUCGUAAUAGUCAAGACAACUCUCAUACGCGAUCCAAACUCAAUCUGCAGCAUAUAUAAUUCACUGGUAAAGGAAGACUCGCUACAAAAGAGCAUAGGGAUCACACGCCCUCAGGACACCCUACAGGAGAUAACCCACCUACUUUGCCUCAAACUAACAUCUCUUUAUACCUUUCCACCAUCAUAAACAUCACGCAAUCACUUAAUAUUCCUGAGUCUGAACUCAUAUCAUGACAUAAAAUCUACUUCGUUCCCCAACUAAACAAUAUGAAAAGAUCCUUCAACACACCCAUAACUCGGGGCUAUUCAUCAAAUCAAGAUGGAAAUCAAGAACCAAAUAGUUCUUUCUACCCUCAAGAAGACCCUCCUCAUCACAUCCAAAUCAUAUGAACAUAUCUCGCAGUCACAUCAUACUCAUCACGUAGCCAUCCAGUCAUUACUUCCACUAAUAUGGACACUACCGAACAUAUAAAUCCAAAAGCACGCUCUCACACAAUCAACACCUUAGUGCUCAAGCUAGAGGCAAAGCCCGGACCCAAGUCAUCCAGACUGGCCCAACAUCAACACACAAAAAUCACAUCUCGCCUCUCAUUUAGGGAAUCACAAGCCGUCGAUGCACAGCUGAUACCAAGUGCUCAUGCGCGCAUAUGAAUGCGUGGAAGGAAUUUCAAGAGUUACAUUUCAAGAUGAAUCAAUGCCGCACGACAAGAAUUUCAAGAAUGUGGGAUUUCCUAAAGGUUUUGCAGCCUCUCAAAGAUAGGUACAGACGUCUUUGUACCAAUCCGUGAGACUCUACUAAACCUUUCAUGACUCGUGAGACCUAUGUAACCUAGGCUCUGAUACUAACUUGUCACGAACUAAAACUAACCCUAUCGUGAUGGCGCCUAAAGUGGUACUAGGCAAGCCGAUACACUACCAAACCCAAUCACUAUUUUUAUUUUUAAGACAAAACCAAAGUUAUUUAACAAUAAACCAGCAUAAGGAGCUUAAAUCAAAACAACAGUGCGGAAAAAAAGCCCGACAUCAGGGUAUCACUAGUCAUGAGCAUUUACUACAACCGUCUGACAACAUCAAGACUAACAUAGCCUAAAAAUAACUGAAUACAACUAAGGGAGGAUAAAGAGGGAGAAAAGUAGGGCUGGGAUUGUCAGGCAGCUACCUUACUAACUCUGAUGGACCGUCCAUUGAUUAAUCAACACCCGCUAUCGGGUUUAGAAAUACCCGGAUCUACACACAAUGUGCCGGGAGUAAUGUGAGUACAUCAACUCACUAAGUAAUAAAAGUAAAUAGAGACUGAGCAGUAAAACCAUUUAAAACAUCUUUCAACAGUCUUCAAUGAAGUGAUGAAACAGUGAGUAAAAAUGGUGAAAACAUAUACAGCCCCUUAGGCAAAACUCACUCGUAUAUAGCCCCUCGGCAAACAUCACUCGUGAACAUCCCCUCGGGCAAACAUGAAUCAUAAACAGCCUCUCGGGCAAACCUCACAAUCACUCAUAUACAGACCCUCGGGCAUUACUUCAUAUCACUCGUAAACAGCCCCUCGGGCACAAUAUGAAUCAAGAACAGCCCCUGGGGCAAAACAUCGUAUCACUCACUCAGGGUACCCAUGCUCACUAGGGCUGUACAGACUCCGGAGGGGCUCCUACAACCCAAGCACUAUAACAAGUGACCUCGUGGAAUAAAUCAAUCAGGCCCUCCUUUUUAUCACUCGAGGGGUAUAUAAGAGAGUUUUUCCAAUUAAAGUGACAUAAAUCGAAAUGGAAUUAUUUUAUUUAUUUAUCAGAGUCUCCACUUAGAAUAAUUUAUUUGGUGUCCCAAGUCACCGGUUUAUUUUAAAUCCUAAGUCGAGGAGAAUUUGGACUUUAUUUAAAAUCUGCAAAACCAGAAAUUCUAGAUAAGGAAUUCUGUUAACAUGGAGAAAGUGUUAGGCAUUUUCGAGUUUCAUAGUUCGAGCACGGUCGCUUAACUAUUAAUAAUUGGCAUAUUAUCUAAUUUAUUACAUGUUUUAAACCUAGUGUGCAUUUUUAAAUUUAUUUAUUUAAAUCGCUUUUUAGGAUAUAUGGAAUUUAUUUUUUUGAACAAGUUACGAUUAUCGUACACUUGUCAUUUUGGAACAUACCGCAAAACACGCCACAUGAAAUGCACCCGUGAUUCGCGAUAUGUUUAUUUUAUUAUUGUUCAAAGUUGUUAUGAUCGGGUCACAUGAAGUGCACACCUGAAUUUGGGUUAGGUAUCAUGACUAUGCCACGGGAAUCGUACCCACAGUCACGAUGAUUUAUUAAUCGCGCCUAAAGCAAGCUACGAUGUAUUUAUUUGGUCCUAAAUUGAAUAUGUAGUUUAUUUGGUCCUCGAGUUGUCUUAUAUUUUAGAAUUUAUUAGUAGUUGGAUAAGGAACUCAUUUAGCCUUUGACUUUUUAACCUGAAGCUAUCUUUGGCUUUUCUGCAUUGUGUUCCACCAAAUGGUUGAUUGAAGUCAAGCGCAAGAGCCAAAUGUAUUUGCAUUUUCAAAUAAUAUCAAAACACAUCCAAGGAAAGGAAGUAAGGAAUAAAAAGGGAAACUAUGCCAUGUUCAUUAUAAAGGGUUAUGUGUACAGAUUUACCAACCCUAAGUAUCUCACAGAAUGAAGCUAAAGGCAAAAAAAACACAGUAUCUUAUAAUCGAGGGAAAUCGCAGAAAAACAAAGCGAACACUUGACGAGCUGUGAAAGUAUAUCAUACACAUAUGUCAUCAAACACAGGAAUAAAAAGCAAAUCCAUCUAAUUAGCUUUCAUCAAACACAGAAAUAACCAAAACAUGCAGCAAAUUUAAAAUAAAAAGUAGCAGACCGGUACUUGGGCAGAACGAACAAAAUAGCUUAUCAUAGCUAAAGCACAUGUCAUAGGUAUAAAUUAUAUAUACUGUUUUUCAACAAACAAACAACCACAUUAAGACCACAUCCUUAGGAAUUGAUUAAGUGCUACUGAUUACUAACAACAUGAGGACAUUGAACAGGGUGAUUUCAAACCAUUAUAUGCCUAUUUGUAUUAAUUUGUUACCGUUUGAAAUAAGAUCUCAAAACACAAACAAAUCGUAUAGCAUUAUUAGGAAAGGAUAAUUGCAUAGAUACAACAAUAAUCAGAAAUUCAUUGAAGACAAAAGGAAUUCAUUCAUUUUUUGACUUAACGGUGGCGUAAAUCACAACAAAGUACCUGCGUGUGUAGAUAUCACCUCCAAAACUCCAACUAAAGGCUAGAUGAGAAAUGAGCUUAGCACAGCGGAAAACCAAUAGAUCCGAACAAGGAGCAACAGCAAAUUUUCAACCAUAGUAGCAUUUUAAAACCCAGAAAAAUAGAAACAAACAGUAGCGGUUUGUUCCAGCCUUGGAGCUCGUCAGCGAGGGAAGCUCAGGCACAAGAGGGAUUUAUAGGAGGAGAAAUUGAAGUGUUGAUGGCUGUUUUUGGGACUUUUUGGUAUAGGAAUUUCAGUUGGGUUUUCAGAGCUUUUACAUGGGUUUGGGGCUGAUUUGAGCUCGAGUAUUAGAGCUGAAAAUGGUGGUGUUCGUGGUGUUCUAAGAGAGGUCCAUGGCUGAAAUUUUGGGCUAAUCCCAUCCCCCUUUCGUUUUUCUUUUCCCGGAUCCCCUCUCUCACUGUAUCGUCCUACCUUCCUCUCUAUCUAUGUGUGUCUUUUUUCAAUUGAAAGAAAGAAGCCAUCUCAAAUCAGAAGGGGAAAGAGGCUGAGGUACUACCGCUAGAAGCUAAUCUCAGAGGAAAGGAUUUGUUGUCUUUGCUCUCUGUUAGAAGUGAGGAAGAAGAAGAUGGGUGAGCUAUUUUGGAAGAUGAUGAGGGAAUGCAGAAGAAGGGGAAAAGCUGCGCUGUUUUGGGUGUUAGGGAUCUCCUCAAAUAAGGUCUAUUAAUGUGUGUUAGGUCUGGGGAUUUAAGGGUAAAAAUGGGGAACGGGAAGAUUGGGCUGG